rnacentral:rRNA from 1 species
GACGAACGCUGGCGGCGUGCUUAACACAUGCAAGUCGAACGGAAAGGCCUGCUUUCCCUUGUGGAUUGCGGGUACUCGAGUGGCGAACGGGUGAGUAACACGUGAGUGAUCUGCCCCCAACUUGGGUAUAAGCCUGGGAAACUGGGUCUAAUUCCCGAUAGGACUGCAGGGUGGUGCCUGUGGUGGAAAACGAUUUUCUAGUGGUUGGGGAUGAGCUCGCGGCCUAUCAGCUUGUUGGUGGGGUAAUGGCCUACCAAGGCGGCGACGGGUAGCCGGCCUGAGAGGGCGGACGGCCACAUUGGGACUGAGAUACGGCCCAGACUCCUACGGGAGGCAGCAGUGGGGAAUAGUGCACAAUGGGCGGAAGCCUGAUGCAGCGACGCCGCGUGGGGGAUGACGGCCUUCGGGUUGUAAACUCCUUUCGACCGCGAGGAAGCCACCUGGUUGGAAGGGUGGUGACGGUAGUGGUAGAAGAAGCACCGGCUAACUACGUG